UACGUAGGGGCAAGGCGUUGUCCGGAUUUACUGGGCGUAAAGAGCGUGUAGGCGGCCAAACAGGUCCGUUGUGAAAACUGGAGGCUUAACCUCCAAGACGUCGACGGAAACCGGUGUGGCUAGAGUCCGGAAGAGGAGAGUGGAAUUCCUGGAUGUAGCGGUGAAAUGCGCAGAUAUCAGGAAGAACACCAAUGGCGAAGGCAGCUCUCUGGGACGGUACUGACGCUGAGACGCGAAAGCGUGGGGAGCGAACAGG
rnacentral:rRNA from 1 species